rnacentral:rRNA from 1 species
AGGCAGCAGUGGGGAAUAUUGCACAAUGGGCGCAAGCCUGAUGCAGCCAUGCCGCGUGUAUGAAGAAGGCCUUCGGGUUGUAAAGUACUUUCAGCAGUGAGGAAGGUGGGUAUGUUAAUAGCAUAUUCAUUUGACGUUAGCUGCAGAAGAAGCACCGGCUAACUCCGUGCCAGCAGCCGCGGUAAUACGGAGGGUGCGAGCGUUAAUCGGAAUUACUGGGCGUAAAGCGCAUGCAGGUGGUUUGUUAAGUCAGAUGUGAAAGCCCGGGGCUCAACCUCGGAAUUGCAUUUGAAACUGGACAAACUAGAGUACUGUAGAGGGGGUAGAAUUUCAGGUGUAGCGGUGAAAUGCGUAGAGAUCUGAAGGAAUACCGGUGGCGAAGGCGGCCCCCUGGACAGAUACUGACACUCAGAUGCGAAAGCGUGGGGAGCAAACAGGAUUAGAUCCCCUGGUAG